rnacentral:SRP_RNA from 1 species
GCUGGGCAUGGUGGCUCAUGCCUGUAAUCCCAGCACAUUGGGAGGCUGAGGCGGGUGGAUCACUUGAGGUCAGGAGUUUGAGACCAGCCUGGCCAACAUGGUGAAAACCAGUCUCUC